AUAGACAUGACCGACGGGGCUUAAAGUGUAGUAUCUGUUCUUAUCAGCUUAAUAUCUGAUACGGGUUCUAUUUGGACCCAAUAUAUAAAACUUCUUUUUGCAAGUUGGCGGAGUGCUUGAAGCCUGCUUCACCUCUGCCGCGGGUCGGCCCGGUAGUGCACACGCAAAACAAAAACGCAAGGAACCCUAGCCAU